rnacentral:rRNA from 1 species
AGUGAACGCUGGCGGUAGGCCUAACACAUGCAAGCCGAACGGCAGCACAGUAAGAGCUUGCUCUUACGGGUGGCGAGUGGCGGACGGGUGAGGAAUACAUCGGAAUCUACUUUUUCGUGGGGGAUAACGUAGGGAAACUUACGCUAAUACCGCAUACGACCUACGGGUGAAAGCAGGGGAUCUUCGGACCUUGCGCGAUUGAAUGAGCCGAUGUCGGAUUAGCUGGUUGGCGGGGUAAAGGCCCACCAAGGCGACGAUCCGUAGCUGGUCUGAGAGGAUGAUCAGCCACACUGGAACUGAGACACGGUCCAGACUCCUACGGGAGGCAGCAGUGGGGAAUAUUGGACAAUGGGCGCAAGCCUGAUCCAGCCAUACCGCGUGGGUGAAGAAGGCCUUCGGGUUGUAAAGCCCUUUUGUUGGGAAAGAAAAGCAGCAGGUUAAUACCCCGCUGUUCUGACGGUACCCAAAGAAUAAGCACCGGCUAACUUCGUG